rnacentral:rRNA from 1 species
GAGUGAACAGGGAAGAGCUCAAAUUUGUAAUCUGGCGUCCUUUGGGCGUCCGAGUUGUAAUCUAUAGAAGCGUUUUCCGUGCUGGACCAUGUCCAAGUCCCUUGGAACAGGGUAUCAAAGAGGGUGAUAAUCCCGUACUUGACAUGACAACCAGUGCUCUGUGAUACGUUCUCUACGAGUCGAGUUGUUUGGGAAUGCAGCUCAAAAUGGGUGGUGAGUUCCAUCUAAAGCUAAAUAUUGGCGAGAGACCGAUAGCGAACAAGUACCGUGAGGGAAAGAUGAAAAGCACUUUGGAAAGAGAGUUAAACAGUACGUGAAAUUGUUGAAAGGGAAACGAUUGAAGUCAGUCGUGUCCAAGGGGUUCAGCCGGUUAUGCCGGUGUAUUCCCCUUGGACGGGUCAACAUCAGUUUGGACCGGUGGAAAAGGGUAGUUGGAAGGUAGCAGCUCCGGCUGUGUUAUAGACUUCUGCCGCACACACUGGUCUAGACUGAGGCAUGCAGCUCGCCCUUGUGGCCGGGGUUUACCCACGUACGAGCUUAGGAUGUUGACAUAAUGGCUUUAAACGACCCGUCUUGAAACACGGA